UACGUAGGGUCCGAGCGUUGUCCGGAAUUACUGGGCGUAAAGAGCUCGUAGGUGGUUUGUCGCGUUGUUCGUGAAAACUCACAGCUUAACUGUGGGCGUGCGGGCGAUACGGGCAGACUUGAGUACUGCAGGGGAGACUGGAAUUCCUGGUGUAGCGGUGGAAUGACGCAGAUAUCAGGAGGAACACCGGUGGCGAAGGCGGGUCUCUGGGCAACAACUGACGCUGAGGAGCGAAAGCGUGGGGAGCGAACAGG
rnacentral:rRNA from 1 species